GCCUCAAGUUAUGUGUGACAACCCCCUGAAUUUAAGCAUAUUAAUAAGGGGAGGAAAAGAAACCAACCGGGAUUCCCUGAGUAGCUGCGAGCGAAACGGGAGAAGCUCAGCACGUAGGGACGGCGGCCCGCCCGUCUAUCCGAUUCCGUGUACUGGUACGUCUCACUAUCCGUCUUCCUAGUGGUAUUCAAGUCCAACUUGAACGUGGCUUUGAACCCAUAGAGGGUGAUAGGCCCGUAGAACACCACCCAGCGGUUGAUGGACCGAGCGUACCAUGGAGUCGUGUUGCUUGAUAGUGCAGCACAAAGUGGGAGGUAAACUCCUUCUAAAGCUAAAUACGACCAUGAGACCGAUAGUAAACAAGUACCGUGUGGGAAAGUUGAAAAGCACUCUGAAUAGAGAGUCAAAUAGUACGUGAAACUGCCGAGGGUGUAAAGCCUGUUGAACUCGAUUAUCCGUAGUUCCUGGCAUCGUGGGUUUUGGCUGUCACGCAGAAGGGGGCCUUCUGUAUGCCUUGACCCUAGCCAGGAACGAGUGCGGACAUCGUGAUCCAUUACGCAAACCAAAUGCGAGCGGCGACUCCGGUUGCUGCGAGCAUAUCCAACAUCAGGUCCCAGAACAUGCGGUCGACCCUCUAGUAGUGGCGCUCAGCUUAAGGCCGGCGUCGCGAACGGGGGAUCGAGGCUCCGGUCUCGAGUUCGGCUAGUUCCGGUGUGCCGUUGGAUGCGUGAUGGGCAUUGAAGUGAACUAGAGAAGUGUGAAGCGCAUGUUUGGGCAUGUUCAAGGGCGAAAGCCUGAGCCGAGCACGACUCCGGAUCUACGAUGUACUAACUAAUCGAGGUACCUACGGGACCCGUCUUGAAACACGGACCAAGAAGUCUAUCUUGCGCGCAAGUCAAUGGGAGUAGCAAACCCAAAGGCGAAGAUAACACAACUGCAAAGUCGUUGCGGGAUUACGGGUGCACCACAGUCCGCGAGGACUGGCUAGCUGUGCCGCCCCUCCAUCCCCGGGUGUUUAGCAACGGAUCUGUAGUGCCGCGGACCCCCCGACAGGGGUGGGCAUUUGCAGAGCCAACGCGACAUACCGCGAGCGCGCAGGAUGUGACCCGAAAGAU
rnacentral:rRNA from 1 species